GACGAACGCUGGCGGCGUGCCUAAUACAUGCAAGUCGAGCGGACGGAUGGGAGCUUGCUCCCAGACCGUCAGCGGCGGACGGGUGAGUAACACGUGGGCAACCUGCCUGUAAGACUGGGAUAACUCCGGGAAACCGGGGCUAAUACCGGAUAACUCUUUCCCUCACAUGAGGGAAAGCUGAAAGAUGGCAUCUCGCUAUCACUUACAGAUGGGCCCGCGGCGCAUUAGCUAGUUGGUGAGGUAACGGCUCACCAAGGCGACGAUGCGUAGCCGACCUGAGAGGGUAAUCGGCCACACUGGGACUGAGACACAGCCCAGACUCCUACGGGAGGCAGCAGUAGGGAAUCUGCCGCAAUGGACGAAAGUCUGACGGAGCAACGCCGCGUGAGUGAUGAAGGUUUUCGGAUCGUAAAACUCUGUUGUCAGGGAAGAACAAGUACCGGAGUAACUGCCGGUACCUUGACGGUACCUGACCAGAAAGCCACGGCUAACUACGUG
rnacentral:rRNA from 1 species